GUGGACUACGCGGGUAUCUAAUCCGGUUCGCUCCCCCAGCUUUCAUCCCUCACCGUCGGGCGCGUUCUAGCAGACAGCCUUCGCCACUGGUGGUCUUCUCGGGAUUAUAGGAUUUCACCCCUACCCCGGGAAUACCGUCUGCCUCUCUCGUCCCCUAGCCAAGCAGUAUCCCCCGCAAUCCAACGAUUAAUUCGGUGGAUUUAACAGGGGACUAACCUAGCCAGCUACGGAUGCUUUAGGCCCAAUAAACAUCCACACCACUCGGAGAGCUGGUAUUACCGCGGCGGCUGACAC
rnacentral:misc_RNA from 1 species